UUGGGAAUCUUGGACAAUGGGGGAAACCCUGAUCCAGCCAUGCCGCGUGAGUGAUGAAGGCCUUAGGGUUGUAAAGCUCUUUCGCACGCGACGAUAAUGACGGUAGCGUGAGAAGAAGCCCCGGCUAACUUCGUGCCAGCAGCCGCGGUAAUACGAAGGGGGCUAGCGUUGUUCGGAAUUACUGGGCGUAAAGCGCGCGCAGGCGGGUCAUCAAGUCAGAGGUGAAAGCACGGAGCUUAACUCCGGAAUAGCCUUUGAAAC
rnacentral:rRNA from 1 species